AUGGAAUGAGCCACCAAGGUACACUUGGAUUCAGCCACCAGCUGACCAUGUGACCUUAGUUCCUCUAGGAUAACAGUCCUCUACCUUGCCCUUGUCACAAGGGACAAAGAUAAUCAAAUGAGACACUGAAUAUGACUAUGCUUUGAAAUGAUGAGUACUCCCUGCCCACUGUACUACUUGGGACAGCUUUUGCUACUCCAGUGACUCGGUGCUGCUCCUUCAUAAAAAGGAACUUUCCCUUUUCACAGCCAGCUGCCACCUUGGAAGACAAUCUCGUAAACGGAUCCUAAGGGAAGCGAUCAUCUAUUUAUUUUAAGAGUUACUGGUGCAGUAAACUCUUUUCCAGAACCAGCAAAACUGAUAAUGG